AGCCAUUGAAAUUCAACGGCUAGUUUCUUUUACUAGUUUAAGAAAGUUACAGCUGGUGUUUUUCUUUCUUUUGUCUUGUUAAUUGGACUGAGCCUUCCCAUCUUCUUCCAAGUGGAUGGAUGAUAUCCUCCAAUAACCAUUUAUGGUCGGAGAGGAGUUCUAGGUUCCUAGAUGUAGGAUCUGAUUUUAGACUGGCUGUAAAAAGAUAUAGUCUUUUGUAAUUUGUCUUUUGAGAUAUAUGAAAAAUACAUCGACUCUUGCUCUUCCCUCUCUCUCUUGAAAGAAACAAAUUUCUUCAAACCCUUGCUCAAAGUUUCAAUCCUUUUUAUCAACCUAAUCGAUAUGCCUGGUACCAUUUCAAACAGUAUCCAAUUAGUUUACGUCGGAGACCAUUCUUCAAAUACUGGAGUUAUUUUCAAUUUACAUUAUUAUUUUUUAUCUUUGUUGCUAUAUCCCAGUUCAUUUUCUGUGCAAGUAAACAAAAGCUAUCCAUGCCAUGAUUUCACGUUGUGUUUCACUUUUCUACCUUGUGCUUGGAAAUUUGCCACUUCCAUUCUUGCACGCUUCAUUUUACUCAAAAGAAAACAGAAGGACUCACUCACGGCAGCGAGAAGAAAUUCUGCAGCUUGUUAUUCAUUUUAAAUGAGCUAGAGAGCAACUAGUUCUAGACAGAUUAUAACCUACAUAGACAUCACGUUGUGUUUCACUUUUCUACCUUGUGCUUGGAAAUUUGCCACUUCCAUUCUUGCACGCUUCAUUUUACUCAAAAGAAAACAGAAGGACUCACUCACGGCAGCGAGAAGAAAUUCUGCAGCUUGUUAUUCAUUUUAAAUGAGCUAGAGAGCAACUAGUUCUAGACAGAUUAUAACCUACAUAGACAUCACGUUGUGUUGCACUUUGCCUUCUUCUUGGAAUCAAAUUUAUGAUUGGCAACCACUUUUCAGGUUGAAACCUUGUCUAUAAGAAGUGACUCUGGAGAUGAAAUAGCAUCUUACACUCAGGAGGAAAGCUGCAGAUACAUGGAAGUCUCACGCAACAAGGACAAAUUAGAAAUCCAAUCUGAGCUGAAACGUGUCAUUUUCUGAAAUCAGGUGAUUUACAUAAAGAAAACGAGGGCAUGAUAAUGACGAUCACUGAAGACGUUGAGAGGAAGGCUUUGCAAGCUAAGCUGGACAAAAUGGCUACGGACCUUGAGGAGGUGAGGUUACUUAAUAGCCACUUUCAAGAGGAUCAGCUGUUACAGUUGUCUCACCAGAAACAAACCGAAACAGUCUGCGAACAGGUUGAGAUGGAGACAGCGAGAACAAUUCUUCGUUUAAGAGGUUGCUGCCCUUCAGUUUGAACUUGAUGAGAACAAUUCUACCAUUAGUGCAAAGGGAACCAGUUUUUUGUUGCUAUAUUUCUUGUGAAUCCGUUUGAUCAUCAUCGUAUUAUUACUACUAUGCUCUGCGUACUCAAUUUUUUUGUCGGUUUUGGGACAUAUGCUUAAUGUAUUCUGCUGCUUACAGGUCAGAGACAAAAUUGGAGAUUUCAUAAAGGGCGUAUUUUCUAAAUUCCAGGAUUUGGAUUUUAGUUUCCUGGAAAUGAACCCAUUUACCUUGGUUGAUGGUGAACCUUAUCCGUAGAUAUGAGGGGGGAGCUGGAUGACACUGCUGCCUUCAAGAACUUCAAUAAAUGGGGCAGUGUGGAGUUUCCACUGCCUUUCGGCAGAGUCUUAAGUCCUACAGAAACGUUUAUUCAUUCUCUGGAUGAAAGGACAAGCGCGUCCUUAAAAUUCACUGUGUUGAACCCAAAAGGACGCAUCUGGACCAUGGUAGCUGGAGGGGGUGCAAGUGUAAUUUACGCUGAUACUGUGAGUGGCCUGAUGUAUUGCAACGAUAUAGCUAUACUGUCCCUGUAGCAGCCCUUUCAAAAUUUUGGGUCUCCAUUUUUUGCUUUAAUUCAUCGUUUCUGAUUGAAUGUGCACCCAUUGCUAUUUCUCCCCUCUGUUUCUUUGAACGUUGGGUACCUUUAAAUUCAUACCAUGGCCUGUUGUAAUAUUCUGGCAUCUUUAUAACUUUUUUUAUUGAAAGCGGAUUAAAACUUGAGUAGAA